rnacentral:snRNA from 1 species
UCACUUACCUGGACGGGGUCAAUGGGUGAUCAAGAAGGUCCAUGGCCUAGGUUGGUGACCUCCAUUGCACUUAGGAGGGGUGCCCGCCUAAGGUCGGCCCAAGUGGUCGAGCCUACGUCAUAAUUUGUGGCAGUGGGGGCUUGCGUUCGCGCAGCCCCCGC